UACAGAGGUGGCAAGCGUUGUUCGGAAUUACUGGGCGUAAAGGGCGCGUAGGCGGCCUACUAAGUCAGACGUGAAAUCCCCCGGCUUAACCUGGGAACUGCGUCUGAUACUGGAAGGCUUGAGGAUGGGAGAGGGAUGUAGAAUUCCAGGUGUAGCGGUGAAAUGCGUAGAUAUCUAGAGGAAUACCGGUGGCGAAGGCGGCAUCCUGGACCAUUACUGACGCUGAGGAGCGAAAGCGUGGGGAGCAAACAGG
rnacentral:rRNA from 1 species